AUCCUUCUCUCUCACUCAUCUCUCUCCAUUCUCUCUUCUCUAGCUUGGCACUGGCGGCCAUCGAUCGAUCUUCCUCCGUACCUCUGGUGCCGCCCAUCGAUCCAAUUUCCAUAGGGCAAAGAUCCGCGCUCGCGCGCUGAUCAAUCUUGUGAUGGUCCGCCCUUGAGAUCGAGUCGAAUUCGUCCGAUGACGAGCAAGGGGAGCUCGAGGGAAGGGCGGGGAGAGAGCAGCCGUAGCAGCCAUAGCAAUCACCACGGCAAGGGGCAGAGUAGGGCAAAUGCCGCGGUAGCAGAGCCCUUGUUCCCCAGGGUUCACGUUAGCGACACCAGGAAUGGCCCCAAAGCGCCGCCUCGCAACAAAAUGGCGCUCUACGAGCAGCUCACGGUUCCAUCGCAGCAUUUUCUCCAAAGGCAAGCCUCCGGAUCGGUGUGGCCGCCCAUGAAUCCAGCCUACGCUUCCCAGUAUGCACCAUUUGCCAGCAAUUGCUUCACACCAUGCUUCGUUCCUCCGGGGCUGUCAUUCCACCACCAUGCCAGCUCCACGGAUGGAGGAACAGCGUCUCAAUCCAUGGGGGCGCCGCUCGGCAGCCAAAAGAGCAUGGUCAUGGACUCGGAAGUCGACAAGGAGCUGCAAAGAGUUCCUCGAGUCGUGGACGAGAACAAUCCAGUUGGAGGUGGUGGAAAUGCUGCUACUCCUACUACCCCCUGUGCUGCUCGACCAGUUCCCUGCGCAAAAUCUUCGUCCCAACAACAACAACAACAUCCAUGCGCAAAAUCUUCGUCCCAACAACAACAACAACAACAUCCAAGCGCAAAUACCAUCGCUGCCGCCACCGCUAACGUCGUGAACACCACUAUGGCCAACGCCACCCUCGCCAACGUGAACAAGAGGGUGAGGAACGAGGACGAUUUUGCCGUGCCGACUUACUGCUUCCCGAAAGAUGGCAAGGGGGUGGAAGCUGGCAGUGGUAGCAAGCAGCAGCAGCAGCAGCAUAGCAACACGAGGAGUGAGAUGAAUGCGAGCAAGAGCUCGGCAGCUGAGAUCGUGGAGAGGACUGUGCCAUCUUCGGCUGGAGUUUCUUCUUCUCCAGCUGCUGUUGCCGGUGUUACUGCUGCCGCUGGUGGUGGUGGUGGUGCUGCUACUGCUGCUCCGGGCGUGAUUUCUCCGCACAAAGGUCAUACGGAACACAUAUCCUCGAGCAAUAUCUGCGAGAGUGCUGCAGGCUCGGACAACCAGAGCGACGAUUUCUUCCAGUCACUGCACGAGGAGCAAGUGAGCGGCGAUGGGGAUUCCAACGCUUCCAUCGUCGACCCGUUCGGCAAGAUCGCGGCGAGGGACGUUGUUGGAGCCGUCGGGGAGAAGGAGUUUUGGAAGACGCGCAAGACGAUCUUAAGGCAGCAAAGGAUAUUUGAAACGCAGGUUUUUGAGCUCCAUCGUGUUGUCAAGGUGCAACACUUGCUAGCCGAGUCUCCAAAACUCUUGCUAGAGCCCGAUCACGCCAGGUUCCAUCUAGCCCAACCUCUGCGGAUCACGCACGAGAUUGCUACGCCGGCGGAGGAACGCCUGUUAGCUCAUCCUCCAGUAGCAGUCAGAGGAUCUAACAAAGAUCAAACAACAAACUUCACCACCGCUCAAGCCUCGAAGCCGCCCUACAAUCCCAAGGACCAACACCGCCAGCAAAGAUCAUACUCCACAGCACCAGCGGAUAUCUCUCCUCGAGAAGCUCCUCCACCACCACCAGCUGUAACAGCAACACUCAUAAACACAUGCUCGAGCUCUCCAGCGCCGCCGCCGCCGCCGCCGCAGAUGAACUCGAGCUCCACCACCACCACCCAAGGCAUGACUUAUCAAACGUUCCCGGGGGCCGCGAACUCCUGGGGGUUCGCCACCUUCCCGGCUGGCAACCAGUGGGCGAUGCUCCCACCCUCCUGCCAGCCUUACGUCUUCCAGCCGCCGCCAAACGCCGCUCAAAUGCUACCGGGUUACGGUGCCGCAUACCAGCCAGUCUUCCACAACGGUGCAGGAAGCUACGAGUUAUUCCCGAUGGUUCCACGCCCGCCAAGGAUGCAAACCGCCGAGAUGCAGCCCGUCUACUGGCAGCAGCCCAUGUACCCGAGCGUCCACUCCUCCGGCUGGUACGCUUUUCCUCCGCAGUUCUUCGACUCCUCCUCGGUACAAACACCGCAACCUUCAAAGCUUCCAAAGUCGGCGAACUCGACGGUCAUGUCCCCGAUGGAUCUCCAGCAAGAGCAGCGGCAGCAGCGGCAGCAGCAGCAGCAGUAUCAGCAGCAGCAGCAGCAGCCAAAGUUCCCCGGCUCGACGCACAACAGUGACAUGUCCUCCAUAGCUCAGAGCUCCGACUACCAUCACUUCCAGCAGCAGGAGCAGCAGGAGAAGAGAGGGCCCGAAAUGACACAAAGGUGGAUUGAAGGCGAGCACCAGCAGCACGGGGUGAGUUACUCGCUGCCUUUCUCGUACGUUCCUCCAUCGGAGAGGCACGAACAGCAGCAGCAACAGGGUGGUGGGGGUGGAGCAGGAUUUAAUGGAAACAAUGGGGCCAUGAAAGUUGUACCUCGGGCUGUAAUGGCCACGCCCGAAUCAGCAGCUGGGAUUCUCAAGUCAAUCCAGCGAGAGCGACGCUGAAGAAGAGUAAGAAAUCCAGAAAUGUAAUGUAAAGAAGCAGCAGCUUAGAAGCUGGAGGACAGCUGAAGAACAGCUCUCAUAAUGGAUAAAUGGAAGCAGCAGCCAACAUGGUGUAACUUUGUUUUUUGUAUGCAUCUUUUGUUUUACUAAAGAAAAGAGAUUUUUAGGGGUGACUAUACCACCUACA